UUGCCUGAUGACUGGUUAUGGGCGAUCGGCGGCACAAGUGAGGGUACACUAGGUAACUUCCCUGUAAAAUACGAUCCUGCGGGAGCGAUCGGUUUGGCGGAGGCUGUCCUGGAAGGAGGCCACACAGGAGUUAUCAGGACCAUAUGCCCAGGUGGAAGCAGUCUUGAGAGCCUUGGCCAAAACAAGGGCAUCUUUGGGUGGACAGGAGGUGAAGACGUCCGUCUAUGUUGCUGGCGCUCGGAAGAUGUCGCAGAGACGAAGAAGUCCUGGAUCUCCAGUUCGCUUGUAUCACGCGUAGAAAAGAAGAAUAGAAGCCGGCAUCAGCCCUACUGA
rnacentral:rRNA from 1 species